AUCAUGUCACAUUGAAACACCAGUUCCCAUAUGAUCACCAAAGUUAAGCAACAUUGAGUCUGGUCAGUACCUUGAUGGGUGAUUGCUUGGGAAUACCAGAUACUGUAAG